rnacentral:rRNA from 1 species
UCCUCCUAAAGAGUAACGGAGGAGCACGAAGGUUAGCUAAUCCUGGUCGGACAUCAGGAGGUUAGUGCAAAGGCAUAAGCUAGCUUGACUGCGAGAGUGACGGCUCGAGCAGGUGCGAAAGCAGGUCUUAGUGAUCCGGUGGUUCUGAAUGGAAGGGCCAUCGCUCAACGGAUAAAAGGUACUCCGGGGAUAACAGGCUGAUACCGCCCAAGAGUUCAUAUCGACGGCGGUGUUUGGCACCUCGAUGUCGGCUCAUCACAUCCUGGGGCUGAAGUAGGUCCCAAGGGUAUGGCUGUUCGCCAUUUAAAGUGGUACGCGAGCUGGGUUUAGAACGUCGUGAGACAGUUCGGUCCCUAUCUGCCGUGGGCGCUGGAGAAUUGAGGGGGGCUGCUCCUAGUACGAGAGGACCGGAGUGGACGCAUCACUGGUGUUCGGGUUGUCAUGCCAAUGGCAUUGCCCGGUAGCUAAAUGCGGAAGAGAUAAGUGCUGAAAGCAUCUAAGCACGAAACUUGCCCCG